AACGAACGCUGGCGGCAUGCCUAACACAUGCAAGUCGAACGAAGGCUUCGGCCUUAGUGGCGCACGGGUGCGGAACGCGUGGGAAUCUGCCCUUUGCUUCGGAAUAACAGUUAGAAAUGACUGCUAAUACCGGAUGAUGUCGCACGACCAAAGAUUUAUCGGCACAGGAUGAGCCCGCGUAGGAUUAGCUAGUUGGUGGGGUACAGGCCUGCCAAGGCGACGAUGCUUAGCUGGUCUGAGAGGAUGAUCAGCCACACUGGGACUGAGACACGGCCCAGACUCCGACGGGAGGGAGCAGUAGGGAAUAUUAGACAAGGGGCGAAAGCGUGAUCCAGCAAUGCCGGGGGAGUGAUGAAGGCCUUAGGGUUGUAAAGCUCUUUGACCCGGGAUGAUAAUGACAGUACCGGGAGAAGAAGCUCCGGCUAACUACGUG
rnacentral:rRNA from 1 species